ensembl:lncRNA
CCUCUGAGAAUGAAUGAAUUAAUUGGUCAGUUAAAUCAUUUCGCAUGUACCUGUUAUUAGGGGAAACCAGGGUCUGAUGGGCCUCCAGGACCUAAAGGGGAUCCAGGAAAUCCAGGAAUUGAGGGUGCUAUAGGUGGACCUGGUCUUCCUGGAACCAAAGGUGCAGAUGGAAAACCUGGAAAACUUGGACCCUCAGGUGAACCAGGACUCAAAGCUGGGAAGGGCGAGAAGGGUGACAGCGGUCCAACAGGAGACAAGGGACCCACUGGGCCUACUGGAAGAAGAGGAUUCAAAGGUAGAAGGGGUCCGUCUGGUCUUCUCGGAGCUAUGGGGCCAGUAGGCCCACCAGGAUUACCAGGUCCACCUGGGCAUGAUGGCAUCCUGGGAGACCAAGGUAAACAGGGAAUAGAUGGCCCAAAGGUAACCUCUCACACAACAAUAAUGAAACGCGUAUCAAAUUUGUUCAUAUCUUCAUUCUGCUUCACUCAAAAAAUAUCUCAU